UGCUCUAUGAUGGAGUUUCUUUCUCUCUGCAUCCUCUAGAACUGCUUUGAUCAGCUCCACUUUUGCCUGUAGCUUCUUGAGAUCGUCUUUUACCCCAAGAAUCAUUACAGCCUGCUCCUCAAGCAAAUUGGCAAUCCUAUUCACACAACCAAUAAGAAAUGCUUCUGACUGUGUUCCCAUUUGUGAUUGGUGAGUCCAAGGUAAGUGUUAUACUUCCUACCUUCAAUGAGAACACAGAAAUUAAUACGAUAGUCAAAUUUAUGGUAACUACGAUUCAAUUCAAUUAUUGAGGAAUGAAGGCCAUGCAUUGUUUGAACAAAUACGAUGUGAUCACCCAAAUUUGAUGACAAAAAUGUGGGAGUCUGCAGCCAUACUAAUAUCUGGUAGUAAUGUUUAUGUGUCCAUGCGUAGAAAGGCCAACAAAAUUAUCUUUAGUAUUUAUAUCAAUCUGGGUUGAAAUGCUAGUAUAUUACAUUAUGUAUGCAGUGGUUUAAGGCAACAUUGGUAUGCCUCGGAGCCAUAACAUUCAAGGCAUAAGGCAUGAUGAUGCAAUAUGAGGUGCCUGAGUUGUGAUUGAUAGAGAAAUUUGCAAAGAAAAAAGACAUGGAAAAUGAGAAAAGCCCACUACCAGGCUGCAAAUUCCGUUCAAAGUCAUGAAGUCAGCUUACUGGAAGAUAUGUGUUGGCAAUGUUGCAAGAGCUCUUUCAAUCACUACUAGGAAGACUGUUUGCUUCUGAUUUCAUUCUGUUCAAAUUGCCACCGAUGUUUGCCUCUGCAGAAUGCAUAGUUUUCUUAAAUUCUGGUUGAUGCCAAGUUUGCUUGUCCUACCGAGAGAAUGCACCAAUCGAUAAGACACCUUCUCUUCAACAUGAAGCUGAUGGAAUCAAUGGUUUCACAUUUGAUAUAGUGGUACCGCUGCAAAAGCCAGCAGAUUUGUGUUGUGAUCAGGACUGAAUUGUCAAUCUAGUUCCAUUUGAUAGAAUUGACAUGAAACCACGGUGACCUUAAUUAUAAUCUAUAGCAGGGAGUUUGAAUAAUAUUGGCUG